GGUCCGCUGGCGUAAUGGCAGCGCGUCUGACUACGACUAAAGAUUAUAUUAGGAGGUUCCAGGUUCGACCCCUGGGCGGAUCG
rnacentral:tRNA from 1 species